CUGGAUCCUGGCUCAGAUUGAACGCUGGCGGAUGCUUUACACAUGCAAGUCGAACGGUGCACGGAUCUCUGGUCUGGUGGCGAGGGCGAACGGGUGAGUACGUAUCGGAACGUGCCUAGUAGCGGGGGAUAACUACGCGAAAGGUAGCUAAUACCGCUACUGCUCCCGGGGGAAAGCGGGGGGACCUUCGGGCCUCGCACUAUUAGAGCGGGCCGAUAUCGGAUUAGCUAGUUGGUGGGGUAACGGCUCACCAAGGCGACGAUCCGUAGCUGGUUUGAGAGGACGACCAGCCACACUGGGACUGAGACACGGCCCAGACUUACGGGAGGCAGCAGUGGGGAAUUUUGGACAAUGGGGGAAACCCCGAUCCAGCCAUCCUGGCAAAAGGAUGAAGCGGCCUUCGGGUUGUAAAGCACUUUUUUGGCAGGAGAAACGGCACGGGAUAAUACCCCGUGCAACUGACGGUACCUGCAGAAUAAGCACCGGCUAACUACGUGCCAGCAGCCGCGGUAAUACGUAUAGGGUGCAAGCGUUAAUCGGAAUUACUGGGCGUAAAGCGUGCGCAGGCGGCGAAAGAAAGAGGAAAUCCCAGAGCUAACUUUUGGAACUGCAUUUUUAACUACCGAGCGAGAGUGUGUCAGAGGGAGGUGGAAUUCCGCGUGUAGCAGUGAAAAUGCGUAGAUGCGGAGGAACACUGAUGGCGAAGGGUAGCCUCCUGGGAUAACACUGACGCUCAUGCACGAAAGCGUGGGGAGCAAACAGUGAUUGACACCUGGUAGUCCACGCCUCAAAACGAUGUCAACUAGCUGUUGUGGGGCCUCGGGCCUUGGUAGCGCAGCUAACGCGUGAAGUUGACCGCCUGGGGAGUACGGUCGCAAGAUUAAAACUCAAAGGAAUUGACGGGGACUCCGCACAAGCGGUGGAUACGUGGAUUAAUUCGGAUGUGGGGGAAUUGUGGCGAAAACCUUACCUACCCUUGACAUGUUCAAAUCCCGAAGAGAUUUGGGAGUGCUCGCAAGAGAACCGAACACAGGUGCUGUAUGCUGUCGUCAGCUCGUGUCGUGAGAUGUUGUUAAGUCCGCAACGAGCGCAACCUGUCAUUAGCUGCUACGAAAGGGCACCUAAUGAGACUGCCGGUGACAAACCGAGGAAGGUGGGGAUGACGUCAAGUCCGCGGCCUGGGGUCACACGUCAUACAAUAAUGGGACAGAGGGUCGCCAACCCGCGAGGGGGAGCCAAUCCCAGAAACCCGAUCGUAGUCCGAUCGCAGUCUGCAACUCGACUGCGUGAAGUCGGAAUCUCGCUAGUAAUCGCGGACUUGCAUGUCGCGGUGAAUACGUUCCUCGGGUCUUGUACACAACGCCCGUCACACCAUGGGAGUGGGUUUUACCAGAAGUAGUUAGCCUAACCGUAAGGAGGGCGAUUACCACGGUAGGAUUCAUGACUGGGGUGAAGUCGUAACAAGGUAG
rnacentral:rRNA from 1 species